rnacentral:rRNA from 1 species
UGGGUAAUAUUGCACAAUGGGCGCAAGCCUGAUGCAGCCAUGCCGCGUGUGUGAAGAAGGCCUUCGGGUUGUAAAGCACUUUCAGCGGGGAGGAAGGCGUUAAGGUUAAUAACCUUGGCGAUUGACGUUACCCGCAGAAGAAGCACCGGCUAACUCCGUGCCAGCAGCCGCGGUAAUACGGAGGGUGCAAGCGUUAAUCGGAAUUACUGGGCGUAAAGCGCACGCAGGCGGUCUGUCAAGUCGGAUGUGAAAUCCCCGGGCUCAACCUGGGAACUGCAUUCGAAACUGGCAGGCUAGAGUCUUGUAGAGGGGGGUAGAAUUCCAGGUGUAGCGGUGAAAUGCGUAGAGAUCUGGAGGAAUACCGGUGGCGAAGGCGGCCCCCUGGACAAAGACUGACGCUCAGGUGCGAAAGCGUGGGGAGCAAACAGG